rnacentral:lncRNA from 1 species
GGGGAUAGAGACUGUAGAAGGCUGCAAAAUGUCACCCCCCCUGAGAUCCAUCCUUCCAGGUGGCCUCAUAUUUGUAGCAGAGGCCUUUUCUGUCUAAUCCAGACAAGCUUCACUAAGGGUAGUGAUUUGGGGCUGAAUAUGAGAAAAUAGUAAUCCCAAACCAUGCUAUUGGGGGUUCCUGGGGGAGGACAGGCCUUACCUACCCCAGCAUCCUUAUUUCUGAGUGGCAUUUUCAAGUCUUUGGUACCUUAUCAGAGAUGCUCUGCACUGGUUGGAUUCUUCCACCUCCUAACUCAAGGCUCCAAAGCUGCUUUUUCCUGGAUUCUGUAUAAAAAACAGCAACACAAACUGAAGAUACAUCUCCUCUGCAUUUCAAGACACCUGUGCUCUUAUCAAGAUCUAUUAGAAGAGCCGCAGAAUGAAGCCUGGAUGAGAAGAGCAGAGAGCAAAGAAUGUUUGCUUCAUCCUCUUCCCUUCCAAAGUAUUUCCAAGGGGAAAUGGCAGAUGAACAACACUUUUCUAGACUGGAAUGAUGAAAACAGCCAGAUUUCAGAUAUACCCGUGCAAGAGGCAGUGCUGACCUCAUGAAUCUUGCUUUUGCUGGUACUGUGUGGAACUAUGAUGAAAUGAAUGCAGUCUUUCAGAGCCAGGUUCCUAGAUAGCAACCACCUCGUACCUUCUUUUGACAGAGGGGAAGAUGGAGAGCCAGAAAGGGUGUGAGCUUUUCAAGAAGAUGGCUGGAGUUCAGAGCUGAGACCAGCAGUUCAGUCUCUGACUUGGAUCCAGUCCAUUGUCUACCACACUCUGCUGU